rnacentral:rRNA from 1 species
AGCGGGGGAAGGUAACUUGCUACCGGACCUAACGGCGGACGGGUGAAUAAUGCUUAAGAAUCUGCCUAUUAAUGGGGGACCACAUCUCCAAAGGGAUGCUAAUACCGCAUACCUCCUACGGGAAAAAGCAGGGGAUCUUCCGACCUUGCGCUAAUAAAUGAACCUAAGUCCGAUUAACUAAUUGGUGGGGUAAAGGCCUACCAAGGCGACCAUCUGUAACGGGUCUGAAAAGAUGAUCCCCCCCACUGGGACUGAAACACGGCCCAAACUCCUACGGGAGGCAGCAGUGGGGAAUAUUGGACAAUGGGGGGAACCCUGAUCCAGCCCUGCCGCGUGGGUGAAAAAAGCCUUAUGGUUGUAAAGCACUUUAAGCGAGGAAGAAGCUACUCUAAUUAAUACCUGGGGAUAGUGGACGUUACUUCCAAAAUAAACACCGGCUAACUCUGUGCCAGCCGCCGCGGUAAUACAGAAGGUGCGAGCGUUAAUCCGAUUUACUGGGCGUAAAGCGUGGCUAAGCGGCUUUAUAAGUCCGAUGUGAAAUCCCCGAACUUAACUUGGGAAUUGCAUUCCAUACUGGUGAACUAAAGUAUGGGAAAAGAUGGUAAAAUUU